CAGCAGCCACGGGGAAUACGUAGGGUGCAAGCGUUAAUCGGAUUUACUGGGCGUAAAGCGUGCGUAGGCGGCUUCUUAAGUCGGAUGUGAAAUCCCUGAGCUUAACUUAGGAAUUGCAUUCGAUACUGGGAAGCUAGAGUAUGGGAGAGGAUGGUAGAAUUCCAGGUGUAGCGGUGAAAUGCGUAGAGAUCUGGAGGAAUACCGAUGGCGAAGGCAGCCAUCUGGCCUAAUACUGACGCUGAGGUACGAAAGCAUGGGGAGCAAACAGGAUUAGAUACCCGCGUAGUCCCUGUCUUUAUAU
rnacentral:rRNA from 1 species